GUCAGAGGAGAUUUCGCCUGAGCAUCUUUCAGAGGCUGUAUAGUGGCAUCACAGAGAGAAAUCCGCUUGGAGAAAAUUAUAGCUAAUGCAAACCUCCAACCAAAACCUUUUUUCCCUUAGACGGUGGUGUGUGAGCAGAGGAGAUGCCAUGGGAAGCAGUACAGGAGAUGCCAGCCCUGGGAUGCGACACACAGAUGGACACUUUUCCUUCCUGGGUUUCCAAAAAACCUUCAAAACCUGAUUUUUGUCAACAAAAUUUGCUCAGUUGCAUCCGCCCAACUGUGAUGUUCACUCUUGGAAGAACGGAGCCUUUUCUCUGGACAAGACAAGAAGGGGUGAAGCUGCCCGCCUCAGGAAGCAGCACAGGGCUUUGUAAAAUUCUGUAGCUACAGGCUCUAAAAUCCUCCAUCCCUGGCAGAAAACUGCACAGAAUAUUGACUUUUAACACCAACUAAUCCUGAUUGCACAAUAACUUCCCACCACUGCUCAGAGAAGAGGCUUUGCUUUCCCCAUUCUCCCAAAGAGGCUUUUAGGGACCUUCCUGAUGGCUGAAAGGCAGCACUUCAAGGUACAAGAAGCAGUAAAAAAACACCAAAAAAAACCACCCUUCUGUCCCUACAGCCUCACUUGUAUUCAUUUAAGUGAAUCUUGGCCAAAAUCUUGACAAAAUAAUCACUUUUACCAUCACCUCAACCCAGAAGCAGCUCUGCUCCCUUCCAGGGCUGCCUGGGUAGAGGCUGAGGAGGGGCAGGGAGAGUGAAUUCAUUAAUUACCUGUUCCUGAUCAGAGCUCAUUUCUUUCCCCAGCUCCAAUAGUGGAGCUCCCUCUGCCCAGGGCAGGAUGAGGAAGAGGAGGCUGAGUUCUCUCCUCCUGCUGAGCUGAACACAGCAAACUUUGGGAUUAAAUCUCCUCUCCUUUACCCCUCUAUGGGCCUUUUGGUUUGAAGUGGAGGGAAAUCCUUGCUGGGUUUUUUCUGCGGCAUAAAUAUACAAUAUAUUCAUGUUAUCCCUGCAGAUCUUCAUUCUCCAUAUCCUCAUUAACACACUCACAAGAAGACCACUACAUCCACGUACUUUAUUGAUGCUGCAUUGCCAUAAAUCCUGCUUUAAUACACAGAUGCAGGUUUUACACCUUUCUGCAUCCUUUUAGAUGCAGAAAGGACCAGGACUGGUUUUCUGUGUCUGAUUCCAGGAUCCCACCCCAGGUGGUGUGGGGAUCAAAACCACCUCCCACUGCUGAAAUGUGUCCUCAAUGGGAAAUUUAAACAGAAACAGAAACGGCAGCCCUGUCUUUGGUCAAGAUGAGGUUGUGGGAAAACCUCCUGGAGGGGCUUCCAUGGGAAUAUUGUGAUGCUACAGAACUGACACUGCAGCCACUGUCCCUCCAGCUCCCCCCCAGCACCAGGCAAAUGUCAUUUCAGCACCAGGGAAAGUAAUUUCAGCACCAGGGAAAGCAAUUUCAGCACCAGGGAAAGCAAUUUCAGCACCAGGGAAUGCCAUUUCAGCACCAGGGAAUGCCAUUUCAGCACCAGGGAAAGUCAUUUCAGCACCAGCACCUGCCAGGGUGUGACAGAUCUCCCAAACCAAUUCAAGAUGCUGUCUCCCAGGACCUCAUUCCACCUGUGCAAGCAGCAGCAGGGCCAGCAGCAGGGCUGAGCCUCAUUAUCUCUGUGCUUGGCCCCAGCCUUGGGGGGAGCGUGGUUCUGGGGUGUCACUGCCCCUCAGAGCCCGGGAAUGAGCUUUGCCCCGGAGGCUCAGCAGCACACAUUGUAUUUUAGUGGUUCACACGGCUUCCCUCAUUGAAGGCUCAUGAACUCGGUUUGGAAACCCGGGAAAAGCACAGGGCUCGCUGCUGGGAGAAAUGCUUUAUUCUAACCAGAAAGGAAUUCCACAAUUAUCACAAAAUGAAAUCCCAAAGGAGCAUUAACAGUCACUCCUGCUCAGUGCCCCCUGCUCAUCACCUUUAGAUGUCUGAGUGUACAGCAGGUACCAACAAUACCAGUUUACCACCCAAUGCACAGACCAAAGCUCCCACUGCAAACUGCCUUCAAGAGAAGCAAUAUCUGCCUCCACAGCUCUAGAGCUGCUAUAAAGCAAGAUAUUUCUCCUUUUGUGUAAUUUCUGUA